rnacentral:rRNA from 1 species
CAAAUACUGCAAAAUGGAUACGGUGUAUGUGUGUCAUAGUCCAGGAAAAAAGCAUUAAUGCAAGACCGUACCCGAAACCGACACAGGUGAACGAGUCGAGUAGACUCAGGCGUUGAGUGAACCAUAUUGAAGGAACUCGGCAAAAUAAUCCCGUACCUUAGGAAGAAGGGAUACCGAAAGGUGACACAAAAAUGGGGGUGACGACUUUUUACUAAAAAAUUAGGACUCUGCAAAAUGGUAACAUGCUGUAUAGGGUCUGACGUCUGCCCGGUGCUAGAAGUCUAAAAGGCGCAUUGCAAGAUGCAAAUGGAAAGCCUAGUAAACGGCGGUUGUAACUAUAACAAUCAUAAAGUAGCGAAAUUCAUUGCCAGCUAAUUCCUGGCCUGCAUGAAAGACGUAACGAUUGCCCCACUGUCUCCAGUGUGGACUCAGUGAAAUUGAAUUCUCCGUGCAGAUGCGGAGUACGUGCCCCAAGACGAGAAGACCCUGUGCAUCUUUACUGUACAUUUACAUUGACAAAACCAUACGUAUGUGUAGGAUAGGUGGGAGUACAAACAUCCUUGAAAUACCACCCUUACUAUGUUUUUUGUCUAACAUCGGAGAUAGACAAUGUAUGUGAGGCAGUUUGACUGGGGCGGUCGCCUCCUAAAGAGUAACGGAGGCGUGCGAAGGUAAACUCAAUGUAGAUCGGAAACCUACUGAAGAGCGUAAUGGUAUAUGUUUGCCUGACUGCAAGAUUUACAGAUCGAGCAGAGACGAAAGUCGGUCAUAAUGAUCCACAAGUACUGCGUGGAAAGGCUUGUGCUUAACGAAUCAAAGAUACGCCAGGGAUAACAGGCUGAUAAUUCCCUAGAGUCCAUAUCGACGGAAUUGUUUGGCACCUCGAUGUUGACUGAUCAUAUCCUGGGGCUGAAGAAGGUCCCAAGGGUUCGGCUGUUCGCCGAAUAAAAUGGUACCUGAGUUGAGUUUAGAACGUCGUGAGACAGUUUGGAUUCUACCUGGGGUGCGCGUAAGAAUUGAGAAAACCACAUCCUUGUACGAGAGGACCGGAUGUGUACAACCUCUGGUAUAGUAAUUGUCCGGCCACGGGCAUGGUUACUACGCUACGUUGUGAAAGGAUAAGUACUGAAAGCAUAUCAAGUACGAAACUUUUUUCAAGACAUAUUCUUUAUCGUAUUGUAUAUCGUACAAGUUGAGUACGUUAAUAGAUAAGCUGUGUAUUAUUUGUAAAAAUAGAAGCAUCCUUAUACUAAACUAUACAUUUUUUUUUCUAU